rnacentral:rRNA from 1 species
UGAGGAAUCUUGCGCAAUGGGGGAAACCCUGACGCAGCAACGCCGCGUGAGUGAGGAAGGCCUUCGGGUCGUAAAGCUCUGUCAGUUGGAAAGAAAUACCUGAAAGUCAAUACCUUUCAGGCUUGACGGUACCAACAGAGGAAGCACCGGCUAACUCCGUGCCAGCAGCCGCGGUAAUACGGGGGGUGCAAGCGUUGUUCGGAAUUAUUGGGCGUAAAGAGCGUGUAGGCGGCCGGAUAUGUCAGAUGUGAAAUCCCUGGGCUUAACCCAGGAAGUGCAUUUGAAACUGUCCGGCUUGAGUAGGGGAGAGGGAAGUGGAAUUCCUGGUGUAGAGGUGAAAUUCGUAGAUAUCAGGAGGAACACCGGUGGCGAAGGCGACUUCCUGGCCCUAUACUGACGCUGAGACGCGAGAGCGUGGGUAGCAAACAGG